rnacentral:rRNA from 1 species
UACGUAGGGUGCGAGCGUUGUCCGGAAUUACUGGGCGUAAAGAGCUCGUAGGUGGUUUGUCGCGUUGUUCGUGAAAACUCACAACUCAAUUGUGGGCGUGCGGGCGAUACGGGCAGACUGGAGUACUGCAGGGGAGACUGGAAUUCCUGGUGUAGCGGUGGAAUGCGCAGAUAUCUGGAGGAACACCGGUGGCGAAGGCGGCAUCCUGGACCGACACUGACGCUGAGGAGCGAAAGCCAGGGGAGCAAACGGG